GGUCCCCGGUUCUCUCCGUUCUCUCUCUUCAGAACCCUCGGGUUUUCGCCGACCCAACCCGGAUCCAGCAGCGCCGUCGCUGCACCUCCGGCCACGACCCGGACCUCUCCGUGAUCGCCGCUCCAAGCCCAGUCUUCCUCUGGUGUCGCCUUGCUCCGCCGUUUCCCCGAAAGCCGGAUCGAAGAAGCUCAGUCGUGCGAUCGGACCCGGCCGGAAAACUACUUUUCCGGCUAUUCAUGGGCCGAUCCUUCCCAUUUUCGUGAUCUUCUCCUCCCCAUGAUCAUCCUCAUAUCCUUCUUGCUCGACGAUUUUGAGUGUGGAGUGAAAGAUCACAAGUUGAAGUUUGGACGUCCCUGAUUCAAUCUGGAAACGUGAUCGACGGACGAGAUUAAUCCAAACUUCAAAGCUUGAUCUAGGGCGAUCUAGACCGAAUCUCGCUUAGCUC
rnacentral:lncRNA from 1 species